rnacentral:rRNA from 1 species
UACGGGGGGGGCAAGCGUUGUUCGGAAUUACUGGGCGUAAAGGGCUCGUAGGCGGCCAACUAAGUCAGACGUGUAAUCCCUCGGCUUAACCGGGGAACUGCGUCUGAUACUGGAUGGCUUGAGUUUGGGAGAGGGAUGCGGAAUUCCAGGUGUAGCGGUGAAAUGCGUAGAUAUCUGGAGGAACACCGGUGGCGAAGGCGGCAUCCUGGACCAAUACUGACACUGAGGAGCGAAAGCCAGGGGAGCAAACGGG